GCGGAGGAAAAGAAACCAACAGGGAUUGCCCUAGUAACGGCGAGUGAAGCGGCAAUAGCUCAAAUUUGAAAGCUGGCCUCUGGUCCGCAUUGUAAUUUGUAGAGGAUGCUUUUGGGUAGCCACCGGUCUAAGUUCCUUGGAACAGGACGUCAUAGAGGGUGAGAAUCCCGUAUGUGACCGGCUUCGGCACCCUUUGUAAAGCUCCUUCGACGAGUCGAGUUGUUUGGGAAUGCAGCUCUAAAUGGGAGGUAAAUUUCUUCUAAAGCUAAAUACUGGCGAGAGACCGAUAGCGCACAAGUAGAGUGAUCGAAAGAUGAAAAGCACUUUGGAAAGAGAGUUAAAAAGCACGUGAAAUUGUUGAAAGGGAAGCGCUUGCAAUCAGACUUGGCCUCGGCUGUUCAACCGGUCUUCUGACCGGCCUACUCAGUCGUGGCCAGGCCAGCAUCAGUUUCGGCGGCCGGAUAAAGGCUCUGGGAAUGUGGCUGUCCCUUCGGGGGCAGUGUUAUAGCCCAGGGUGUAAUACGGCCAGCUGGGAC
rnacentral:rRNA from 1 species